rnacentral:rRNA from 1 species
UUCCGGUUGAUCCUGCCGGACCCGACUGCUAUUUGGGUGAGAAUAAGCCAUGCGAGUCGAAUGGGAUUCCUAAAUUUCCCAUGGCAGACUGCUCAGUAACACAUGAUCAACUUACCCUAUAGAGAAAGAUAACCUCGGGAAACUGAGGAUAAUAUUUCAUAGUUGAAUCGGCUUGGAAAAGUUUUUCAAUUAAAGGAAUAAGAUAAAUGGUUCUUAUUUGCUAUAGGAUAGGAUCGUGGACGAUUAUGGUUGUUGGUGAGGUAACGGCUCACCAAGCCGAUAAUCGAUAGGGGCCGCGAGAGCGGGAGCCCCGAGAUGGGUACUGAGACAACGACCCAGGCCUUACGAGGCGCAGCAGGCGCGGAACCUCCGCAAUACACGAAAGUGUGACGGGGUUACCCAAAGUGUUCAAUCUUGAACUGUGGUAGGUGAGUAAUGUUCCCUAUUAGAAAGGAGAGGGCAAGGCUGGUGCCAGCCGCCGCGGUAAAACCAGCUCUUCAAGUGGUCGGGAUAAUUAUUGGGCUUAAAGUGUCCGUAGCCGGUUUAGUAAGUUCCUGGUAAAAUCGGGUAGCUUAACUAUCUGUAUGCUAGGAAUACUGCUAUACUAGAGGGCGGGAGAGGUUUGAGGCACUACAGGGGUAGGGGUGAAAUCUUAUAAUCCUUGUCGGACCACCAGUGGCGAAGGCGUCAGACUGGAACGCGCCUGACGGUGAGGGACGAAAGCCAGGGGAGCGAACCGGAUUAGAUACCCGGGUAGUCCUGGCCGUAAACGAUGCGAACUAGGUGUUGGCGGAGCCACGAGCUCUGUCGGUGCCGAAGCGAAGGCGUUAAGUUCGCCGCCAGGGGAGUACGGCCGCAAGGCUGAAACUUAAAGGAAUUGGCGGGGGAGCAC